rnacentral:rRNA from 1 species
UACGUAGGGUGCAAGCGUUGUCCGGAUUUAUUGGGCGUAAAGAGCUCGUAGGCGGUCUGUCGCGUCGGAUGUGAAAACCCAGGGCUCAACCCUGGGCCUGCAUUCGAUACGGGCAGACUAGAGCGUGGCAGGGGAGACUGGAAUUCCUGGUGUAGCGGUGAAAUGCGCAGAUAUCAGGAGGAACACCGGUGGCGAAGGCGGGUCUCUGGGCCAAUACUGACGCUGAGGAGCGAAAGCGUGGGGAGCGAACAGG